rnacentral:rRNA from 1 species
AGAUUUGUUAAAAAAAUUUGAAUAGUUUGGAAAAGCUAACCAAAGAGGGUGAUAGUCCCGUAUGAGUAAUGUUUAACAAGUUUCUUGAGUAAAGCGGGACACGUGAAAUCCUGCUCGAAUAUAGGGGGACCACCCUCUAAGCCUAAAUACUCUUCAGUGACCGAUAGUGAACUAGUACCGUGAGGGAAAGGUGAAAAGAACCCCUAUUAGGGGAGUGAAAUAGAACCUGAAACUGCAUGCCUACAAUCAGUCGAAGCUCUUUUUAGAGUGACGGCGUACCUUUUGUAUAAUGGGUCAGUGACUUAAUUUAUAAAGCAAGCUUAAGCCAUCUAGGUGUAGGCGUAGCGAAAGCAAGUCUUAAUAGGGCGAUUAGUUUUAUGAAUUAGACCCGAAAACGAAUGAGCUUACCAUGAGCAGGUUGAAUGCAAGGUAACACUUGCUGGAGGACCGAACCAGUUGACGUUGAAAAGUCUUUGGAUGACUUGUGGUAAGGGGUGAAAGGCCAACCAAAUUCGUAGAUAGCUGGUUUUCCGCGAAAACUAUUUAGGUAGUGCGUUGAAUAAAUAUGCGUUCAGAGGUAGAGCACUAAAUGGGCUAGGGGGAAGAGAUUCUUACCAAACCUAAUAAAACUCCGAAUGCUGAGACGUAGUUCUUCAACAGACAGACUGUGGGUGCUAAGGUCCAUGGUCGAGAGGGAAAGAGCCCAGACCACCAGAUAAGGUCCCAAAAUUGUGAUUAAGUGUGAAAGGAUGUGGAAAUUCCUUAACAGCCGGGAGGUUGGCUUAGAAGCAGCCAUCCUUUAAAGAUAGCGUAACAGCUCACCGGUCUAAUAGAGUUUCUGCGCCGAAGAUGUAACGGGGCUAAAAUCACAUACCGAAUCUGUGGGUUUAUAAAGUUUUCGAACUUUAUAAGCGGUAGCGGAACGUUCUGUAAGCCUGUAAAGGGAUACCCGUGAGGGAUCCUGGAGGUAUCAGAAGUGCGAAUGCUGACAUGAGUAACGAUAAAAUAAGUGAAAAACUUAUUCGCCGAAAAUCCAAGGGUUUCUGCGCAAGGUUAAUCCGCGCAGAGUUAGUCGGCCCCUAAGGCGAGGGCGAAAGCCGUAGUCGAUGGAAAUAAGGUUAAUAUUCCUUAACCAGAUGGUAGUGACGGAUUUUGUAAGUUGUGUGUUCUUAAUGGAUUGAACAUGCCGCGAAAAAGUCCCAGGAAAUAGCUCCAUCAUUAGACCGUACCCUAAACCGACACAGGUGGAUUAAUAGAGUAUAUUUAGGCGCUUGAGAGAAUGAUGUUGAAGGAACUCGGCAAAAUGCUUCUGUAACUUCGGAAUAAAGAAGACCUUUUAGUGGGCAACCAUUAGAAGGUGGCACAAGCCAGGGAGAAGCGACUGUUUAUCAAAAACACAGGGCUCUGCUAACACGUAAGUGGAUGUAUAGGGUCUGACGCCUGCCCGGUGCUGGAAGGUUAAUGCGAUGGGUGCAAGCUCAUUUCUGAAGCCCCAGUAAACGGCGGCCGUAACUAUAACGGUCCUAAGGUAGCGAAAUUCCUUGUCGGGUAAGU